rnacentral:rRNA from 1 species
AACGUACGCUGGCGGCACGCCUAACACAUGCAAGUCGAACGCAGUAGCAAUACUGAGUGGCAGACGGGUGAGUAACAUGUGGGAAUCUGCCUUGUGGUUCAGGACAACAUUGGGAAACCGAUGCUAAUACUGGAUAGGCCCUUACGGGGAAAGUUUUAAUGCCAUAAGAUGAGCCCGCAUUUGAUUAGUUAGUUGGUGAGGUAAUGGCUCACCAAGACAAUGAUCAGUAGCUGAUCUGAGAGGAUGAUCAGCCACACUGGGACUGAGACACGGCCCAGACUCCUACGGGAGGCAGCAGUGGGGAAUCUUGCACAAUGGAGGAAACUCUGAUGCAGCGAUGCCGCGUGAGUGAAGAAGGCCUUUGGGUUGUAAAGCUCUUUUGUAGGGGAAGAUAAUGACUGUACCCUAAGAAUAAGGUCCGGCUAACUUCGUGCCAGCAGCCGCGGUAA